UACGAAGGGUGCAAGCGUUAUUCGGAGUUACUGGGCGUAAAGAGUAUGUAGGCGGUUUGUUAAGUUAGUUGUUAAAGACCAUGGCUCAACUGUGGAAAGGCAGCUAAUACUGAUGAGCUAGAGCGCAGAAGAGAGGAGUGGAAUUCCCGGAGUAGCGGUAAAAUGCGUAGAUCUCGGGAGGAACACCGGUUGCGAAGGCGGCUUCUUGGUCUGUGGCUGACGCUAAAGUACGAAAGCGUGGGGAGCAAACAGGAUUAGAUACCCUGGUAGUCCACGCUGUAAACGAUGAUCACUAGAUGUGGGUCGGGCAUAGCCUGAUCCGUGUCGAAGCUAACGCGUUAAGUGAUCCGCCUGGGAAGUACGGUCGCAAGAUUAAA
rnacentral:rRNA from 1 species